UUACGGCCACGUCACUUUGAAAGACCGGUUCCAGUACGAUCACCGAAGUUAAGCAACAUCGAGCCUGGGCAGUUCCUAGAUGGUUGACAGGUUAGGAAUACAAGGUGUUGUAAGC